AUACUCUGGUUUCUCUUCAGAUCGUAUAAAUCUUUCGCCUUUUACUAAAGAUUUCCGUGGAGAGGAAAAUGUGUUUGUGUAACACAAUUUCAUAUAUGAUAAGUAAACAUUAGUGA